GACGAACGCUGGCGGCAGGCCUAACACAUGCAAGUCGAGCGAGCCGCGGACGGGUGAGUAAUGUCUGGGACACUGCCUGAUGGAUGGGGAUAAUUCCGGGAAACGGUAGCUAAUCCCGCAUACCAUCCGAUGUUCCCAGAGUGGAUUAGCUAGUAGGUGGGGUAAUGGCUCACCUAGGCCACGAUCCCUAGCUGGUCUGAGAGGGUGACCGGCCACACUGGAACUGAGACACGGUCCAGACUCCUACGGGAGGCAGCAGUGGGGAAUAUUGCACAAUGGGCGCAAGCCUGAUGCAGCCAUGCCGCGUGUGUGAAGAAGGCCUUCGGAUUGUAAAGCACUUUCAGCGAGGAGGCGUUACUCGCAGAAGAAGCACCGGCUAUCUCCGUGCCAGCAGCCGCGGUAAUAC
rnacentral:rRNA from 1 species